rnacentral:rRNA from 1 species
AUUGAACGCUGGCGGCAGGCUUAACACAUGCAAGUCGAGCGGGGGAGGUUGCUUCGGUAACUGACCUAGCGGCGGACGGGUGAGUAAUACUUAGGAAUCUGCCUAUUAAUGGGGGACAACAUCUCGAAAGGGAUGCUAAUACCGCAUACGCCCUACGGGGGAAAGCAGGGGAUCACUUGUGACCUUGCGUUAAUAGAUGAGCCUAAGUCGGAUUAGCUAGUUGGUGGGGUAAAGGCCUACCAAGGCGACGAUCUGUAGCGGGUCUGAGAGGAUGAUCCGCCACACUGGGACUGAGACACGGCCCAGACUCCUACGGGAGGCAGCAGUGGGGAAUAUUGGACAAUGGGUGGAACCCUGAUCCAGCCAUGCCGCGUGUGUGAAGAAGGCCUUAUGGUUGUAAAGCACUUUAAGCGAGGAGGAGGCUCUUUUGGUUAAUACCCAAGAUGAGUGGACGUUACUCGCAGAAUAAGCACCGGCUAACUCUGUGCCAGCCGCCGCAGUAAUAC